UACGUAGGGACCAAGCGUUGUUCGGAUUUACUGGGCGUAAAGGGCGCGUAGGCGGCGCGGUAAGUCACUUGUGAAAUCUCUGAGCUUAACUCAGAACGGCCAAGUGAUACUGCAGUGUUAGAGUGUGGAAGGGGCAAUCGGAAUUCUUGGUGUAGCGGUGAAAUGCGUAGAUAUCAAGAGGAACACCUGAGGUGAAGACGGGUUGCUGGGCCAACACUGACGCUGAGGCGCGAAAGCCAGGGGAGCAAACGGG
rnacentral:rRNA from 1 species